rnacentral:rRNA from 1 species
UACGGGGGGGGCAAGCGUUGUUCGGAAUUACUGGGCGUAAAGGGCUCGUAGGUGGCCAACUAAGUCGGACGUGAAAUCCCUCAGCUUAACUGGGGAACUGCGUCCGAUACUGGAUGGCUUGAGUUUGGGAGAGGGAUGCGGAAUUCCAGGUGUAGCGGUGAAAUGCGUAGAUAUCUGGAGGAACACCGGUGGUGUAGACGGCUUUCUGGACCGUAACUGACGCUGAGACACGAAAGCGUGGGUAGCAAACAGG